AAAUUGAAGAGUUUGAUCAUGGCUCAGAUUGAACGCUGGCGGCAGGCCUAACACAUGCAAGUCGAACGGUAACAGGAAGCAGCUUGCUGCUUCGCUGACGAGUGGCGGACGGGUGAGUAAUGUCUGGGAAACUGCCUGAUGGAGGGGGAUAACUACUGGAAACGGUGGCUAAUACCGCAUAACGUCGCAAGACCA
rnacentral:rRNA from 8 species